rnacentral:tRNA from 1 species
GAGGGUGUAGCUCAGUGGUAGAGCGUGUGCUUAACAUGCACAAGAUCCUGGGUCAAUACCCUGUACCUCCG